CCGCGAUUUGAAAAUAGCGCACCGUAAGGAGGAGGAAAAGCGAAGGGGGGCGAUGGAGGGAGAGAGAGGCCAGGGAGAUCACAGAAGACGGGGUUCAAGGGGAAAUUCAAGGACCCGAGGCAAUCCGCGGAACGCGAAAAACCAAACGCGACCAUCCAUCAAUCCGUCCGCUCGACAACCCCCGGAGAGGCGCAAGUGCACGCGCACCGCGGCAACGUUCGCGCGUGGUCAUCUACUCCGUGUACCAAAGAUAGAGUCUGACAUCACACACACGGGCAUCAGUCGGGUCGAACGAGCGAUAAACAUAUUCGCGCGCGGUGUCCUCGUACGCGGAAGGUUCCAGUUUACCGCUCACAACUGUCCCGAUCGAUCGAUGCACCCACCGAUGGCUGCGGCCGUGCGAAUUCUUCGUCUACUUUCUCCUAUUUCUCCCGUGUGUGCGAACGGGAUCCCUCGCCGUAAUUCGCCUUCGCUCGUUUAAAGCGAUUCGGCAUUACGAGCUACUUGUGCGGAGGUAACAACGCGUCGACGUCUCUCGGGACAUUUUCCUGUUUGUUUUUACAUACAUGUAUCUUUCUCUCGCGCAACCAACACACACACACACUCUCUCUCUGUGCGACGUCGUCUGUGCCAUGUCGAGGUGCGUGCGCGAUCGACUACGCACAUUCGCGCAUCGUUUAUAGAUAAUGCACUCGAGGCGAUCCAAAGAUCCAUCUACAGACAAGAAAAACCCGCCCAGCGCAGCCCCGAAGAUAUAAAAAAAAAAAAAAAAACUGA